rnacentral:rRNA from 1 species
UACAGAGGUCCCAAGCGUUGUUCGGAUUCACUGGGCGUAAAGGGUGCGUAGGUGGUGAGGUAAGUCGGAUGUGAAAUCUCCGGGCUCAACCCGGAAACUGCAUUGGAAACUACCUUGCCUGAGGAUUUGAGGGGGGAUUGGAAUACUUGGUGUAGCAGUGAAAUGCGUAGAUAUCAAGUGGAACACCAGUGGCGAAGGCGAAUCCCUGGAAAAUACCUGACACUGAGGCACGAAAGCUAGGGGAGCAAACAGG